GAUGGCCAAGGUCCAAUUUCUACGUGAAAUAAUUAAAUAUUCAUUUAUCAUUACGUCAUUUAUCAAUCCGUGCCAAAAAUGGGCGAUCUGUAGCUGUCUGUUUAACUGUCUUUUGUGGAUGACAGCGCCAAUAACUAUAACUUUAAACAGUUUGAAGGUGAAGGCUAAUCAUAUAGAAGUUUAAUGCAGCCGUUUCCAGCCAGUCAAGACUCCUCCAAGUCUCUAUCAGUGUUUCUGCUAAGGAAGUAAGGCCAUACCAAUGACCAUCACGAGAGAAUGCACUGUGUACUACUCCAACUCUCCUCUCUGUCUUCAGCCCCGCCCCCCCUUUCUGUUUGUAAACAAAAAAUAUGUUAGCUCUGAACUGGCUCAUUUCAUGACCUAUAAUCCUUAUUCCAAUGUGUUUAAAGGUUGCCUUACUUUGUAUUGAUCUUAUUAUAGUGUAGUCCUUGUGUUUCUUGCAGAUUUCUUUGAAAACCAGACUGCUAGAUCUAUGAACACAUGCAAGAUUGUUGGCAUGCUCUAGCUUCAUAAAUUUGUGCGAUCACAGCCUGUUCUUUUGUUAUGCACAACAAGUGGCUAUUGGUCUAACUACCCUCCAAA